rnacentral:lncRNA from 1 species
CUGAUACAGAAAUUUCUACAACUAAAGCAAAUUGGCACCUGUCCAGCAAUUUGCUGAAUUAGAGAGUUGUCUGGAGGACUAAGAAGAUACCAUAAGGGUUUACCAUUUCCUUUUCCAGCUCAGAGAUGAGGGGCAAAGAAGAAUAAAAAGAAGUACAUCCUUCGAGUUGGCUGACUAGAAGGAGGAUGAUAUUCUCAACAGAAGACGAAUGAAGAAGUCUGGGAUGUUGGGGUUGGCUCCAACCUACCUUUUCAUCAUUAUUUCAUCUUGGCUAUAAUAUCAAAG